rnacentral:rRNA from 1 species
AGAGUUUGAUCAUGGCUCAGAUUGAACGCUGGCGGCAGGCCUAACACAUGCAAGUCGAACGGUAACAGGAAGCAGCUUGCUGCUUCGCUGACUAGUGGCGGACGGGUGAGUAAUGUCUGGGAAGCUGCCUGAUGGAGGGGGAUAACUACUGGAAACGGUAGCUAAUACCGCAUAAUGUCGCAAGACCAAAGAGGGGGACCUUCGGGCCUCUUGCCAUCGGAUGUGCCCAGAUGGGAUUAGCUUGUUGGUGGGGUAACGGCUCACCAAGGCGACGAUCCCUAGCUGGUCUGAGAGGAUGACCAGCCACACUGGAACUGAGACACGGUCCAGACUCCUACGGGAGGCAGCAGUGGGGAAUAUUGCACAAUGGGCGCAAGCCUGAUGCAGCCAUGCCGCGUGUAUGAAGAAGGCCUUCGGGUUGUAAAGUACUUUCAGCGGGGAGGAAGGGAGUAAAGUUAAUACCUUUGCUCAUUGACGUUACUCGCAGAAGAAGCACCGGCUAACUCCGUGCCAGCAGCCGCGGUAAUACGGAGGGUGCAAGCGUUAAUCGGAAUUACUGGGCGUAAAGCGCACGCAGGCGGUUUGUUAAGUCAGAUGUGAAAUCCCCGGGCUCAACCUGGGAACUGCAUCUGAUACUGGCAAGCUUGAGUCUCGUAGAGGGGGGUAGAAUUCCAGGUGUAGCGGUGAAAUGCGUAGAGAUCUGGAGGAAUACCGGUGGCGAAGGCGGCCCCCUGGACGAAGACUGACGCUCAGGUGCGAAAGCGUGGGGAGCAAACAGGAUUAGAUACCCUGGUAGUCCACGCCGUAAACGAUGUCGACUUGGAGGUUGUGCCCUUGAGGCGUGGCUUCCGGAGCUAACGCGUUAAGUCGACCGCCUGGGGAGUACGGCCGCAAGGUUAAAACUCAAAUGAAUUGACGGGGGCCCGCACAAGCGGUGGAGCAUGUGGUUUAAUUCGAUGCAACGCGAAGAACCUUACCUGGUCUUGACAUCCACGGAAGUUUUCAGAGAUGAGAAUGUGCCUUCGGGAACCGUGAGACAGGUGCUGCAUGGCUGUCGUCAGCUCGUGUUGUGAAAUGUUGGGUUAAGUCCCGCAACGAGCGCAACCCUUAUCCUUUGUUGCCAGCGGUCCGGCCGGGAACUCAAAGGAGACUGCCAGUGAUAAACUGGAGGAAGGUGGGGAUGACGUCAAGUCAUCACGGCCCUUACGACCAGGGCUACACACGUGCUACAAUGGCGCAUACAAAGAGAAGCGACCUCGCGAGAGCAAGCGGACCUCAUAAAGUGCGUCGUAGUCCGGAUUGGAGUCUGCAACUCGACUCCAUGAAGUCGGAAUCGCUAGUAAUCGUGGAUCAGAAUGCCACGGUGAAUACGUUCCCGGGCCUUGUACACACCGCCCGUCACACCAUGGGAGUGGGUUGCAAAAGAAGUAGGUAGCUUAACCUUCGGGAGGGCGCUUACCACUUUGUGAUUCAUGACUGGGGUGAAGUCGAAACAAGGUAACCGUAGGGGAACCUGCGGUUG